UGUUGGUGUAAUGUACUCAGGUGAAUAUGAUGCUUGUGAUGUUACUCUGAGUGUAUAUCCACACCGGGCAAGCUGUAAUGAGUAGUAACAUCACAAGCAUCAUAUUCACCUGAGUACAUUACG